rnacentral:lncRNA from 1 species
CGACCCACCCCCUCCUCCUCCACCUCAACCUCGACAAACCCCUAGCCGUCAGGUUGUAGUCAGACAACCGGCGAAACAGCCGUCACCUCCACGUCAGCAACAACCUCCUUCGCCUCCACGUCAGCAACGACCUCCUUCGCCUCCACGUCAGCCUCCUUCCCCACCACGUCAGCAAACUCCUCCACCUCCACCUACUCAGGAGCGGUUCCCGUAUCAUUCACCGCCGAGCCGCCACAUGUCACCACCGACCCCACCAAAAGUUAAGUCUCCGUCACCGCCACCUCCUCGGUCGUCGUACACACCGCCACCAUCUCCCAAGGAGGUUCAAGAAGCCUUUCCACCGCGAAAACCAACUUCACCACCGAGUCCAGCUCAUUCGACUAGGUCAACAAAAUCUGAACAAGAGAGUUUUCGAAAG